GGGGAUAUAGCUCAGUUGGUAGAGUGCUUUCCCAGCAUGUAUACAAGGCCAUGGGUUCAAUCCCCAGUACCACCA
rnacentral:tRNA from 1 species